rnacentral:rRNA from 1 species
CCUACGGGAGGCUGCAGUGGGGAAUAUUGCACAAUGGGCGCAAGCCUGAUGCAGCCAUGCCGCGUGUGUGAAGAAGGCCUUCGGGUUGUAAAGCACUUUCAGCGGGGAGGAAGGCGUUAAGGUUAAUAACCUUGGCGAUUGACGUUACCCGCAGAAGAAGCACCGGCUAACUCCGUGCCAGCAGCCGCGGUAAUACGGAGGGUGCAAGCGUUAACCGGAAUUACUGGGCGUAAAGCGCACGCAGGCGGUCUGUCAAGUCGGAUGUGAAAUCCCCGGGCUCAACCUGGGAACUGCAUUCGAAACUGGCAGGCUAGAGUCUUGUAGAGGGGGGUAGAAUUCCAGGUGUAGCGGUGAAAUGCGUAGAGAUCUGGAGGAAUACCGGUGGCGAAGGCGGCCCCCUGGACAAAGACUGACGCUCAGGUGCGAAAGCGUGGGGAGCAAACAGGAUUAGAUACCCGUGUAGUC